rnacentral:tRNA from 1 species
UGCCUGGUCGUCCAAUGGUAGGACAGCGGACUUUGGAUCCGUUAAUCCAGGUUCGAAUCCUGGCCGGGCAG